GGAGCGGUGUCCGAGCGGCUGAAGGAGAUGGUUUCGACAACCAUUGUACUCGUAAGGGUUCCGGGGGUUCGAAUCCCCCCUGCUCCG
rnacentral:tRNA from 1 species